GAUGAACGCUGGCGGCGUGCCUAAUACAUGCAAGUCGAGCGAAUGGAUUAAGAGCUUGCUCUUAUGAAGUUAGCGGCGGACGGGUGAGUAACACGUGGGUAACCUGCCCAUAAGACUGGGAUAACUCCGGGAAACCGGGGCUAAUACCGGAUAACAUUUUGAACCGCAUGGUUCGAAAUUGAAAGGCGGCUUCGGCUGUCACCUAUGGAUGGACCCGCGUCGCAUUAGCUAGUUGGUGAGGUAACGGCUCACCAAGGCCACGAUGCGUAGCCGACCUGAGAGGGUGAGCGGCCACACUGGGACUGAGACACGGCCCAGACUCCUACGGGAGGCAGCAGUAGGGAAUCUUCCGCAAUGGACGAAAGUCUGACGGAGCAACGCCGCGUGAGUGAUGAAGGCUUUCGGGUCGUAAAACUCUGUUGUUAGGGAAGAACAAGUGCUAGUUGAAUAAGCUGGCACCUUGACGGUACCUAACCAGAAAGCCACGGCUACUACGUGCCAGCCGCCGCAGUAA
rnacentral:rRNA from 1 species